rnacentral:rRNA from 1 species
UACGUAGGGGGCAAGCGUUGUCCGGAAUCAUUGGGCGUAAAGAGCGUGUAGGCGCCAGAAAAGUCCGCUGUGAAAACUCGAGGCUCAACUUCGAGCUGUCGGUGGAAACUUUCUGGCUAGAGUCCGGAAGAGGGAGAAUGGAAUUCCUGGUGUAGCGGUGAAAUGCGCAGAUAUCAGGAAGAACACCCGUGGCGAAGGCGGUUCUCUGGGACGGUACUGACGCUGAGACGCGAAAGCGUGGGGAGCGAACAGG